rnacentral:rRNA from 1 species
GACGUAGGGGACGAGCGUUGUCCGGAUUUAUUGGGCGUAAAGCGCGCGUAGGCGGCUUGGAAAGUCGGAUGUGAAAAUCCGGGGCUCAACCCCGGACCUGCAUCCGAUACUUCCAGGCUAGAGGUAGGUAGGGGAGAUCGGAAUUCCUGGUGUAGCGGUGAAAUGCGCAGAUAUCAGGAGGAACACCGGUGGCGAAGGCGGAUCUCUGGGCAACAACUGACGCUGAGGAGCGAAAGCGUGGGGAGCGAACAGG